UACGGAGGGGGCUAGCGUUGUUCGGAAUUACUGGGCGUAAAGCGUGCGCAGGCGGUUUUGUAAGCCAGAUGUGAAAUCCCCGGGCUCAACCUGGGAAUGGCAUUUGGGACUGCAAGGCUUGAGUGCGGCAGAGGAGACUGGAAUUCCUGGUGUAGCAGUGAAAUGCGUAGAUAUCAGGAGGAAUACCGAUGGCGAAGGCAGGUCUCUGGGCUGACACUGACGCUCAUGCACGAAAGCCAGGGGAGCAAACGGG
rnacentral:rRNA from 1 species